UACGUAGGUGACAAGCGUUGUCCGGAUUUACUGGGCGUAAAGAGCGCGCAGGCGGUCGAUCAAGUCGAGUGUGAAAGCCCCCGGCUCAACUGGGGAGGGUCAUUCGAUACUGAUCGACUCGAAGGCAGGAGAGGGUAGUGGAAUUCCCGGUGUAGUGGUGAAAUGCGUAGAUAUCGGGAGGAACACCGAUGGCGUAGGCAGAUAACUGGCUCGUUCCUGACGCUCAGGCACGAAAGCGUGGGGAGCAAACGGG
rnacentral:rRNA from 1 species